GACGAACGCUGGCGGCGUGCUUAACACAUGCAAGUCGAACGGAAAGGCCCUGCUUUUGUGGGGUGCUCGAGUGGCGAACGGGUGAGUAACACGUGAGUAACCUGCCCUUGACUUUGGGAUAACUUCAGGAAACUGGGGCUAAUACCGGAUAGGAGCUCCUGCUGCAUGGUGGGGGUUGGAAAGUUUCGGCGGUUGGGGAUGGACUCGCGGCUUAUCAGCUUGUUGGUGGGGUAGUGGCUUACCAAGGCUUUGACGGGUAGCCGGCCUGAGAGGGUGACCGGGCACCAUGGGACUGAGGUACGGCCCAGACUCGUACGGGAGGCAGCAGUGGGGAAUAUUGCACAAUGGGCGGAAGCCUGAUGCAGCAACGCCGCGUGCGGGAUGACGGCCUUCGGGUUGUAAACCGCUUUCGCCUGUGACGAAGCGUGAGUGACGGUAAUGGGUAAAGAAGCACCGGCUAACUACGUG
rnacentral:rRNA from 1 species